CCUACGGGUGGCAGCAGUGAGGAAUAUUGGUCAAUGGGCGGGAGCCUGAACCAGCCAAGUCGCGUGAAGGAAGAAGGUACUUAGUAUUGAAAACUUCUUUUGUCGGGGAACAAAGGCGGAGACGCGUCUCAGGAUGAGUGUACCCGAAGAAAAAGCAUCGGCAAACUCCGGGCAAGGAGCGGCGGUAAUACGGAGGAGGCGGGCGUAAACCGGAUUUAUUGGGUUAAAGGGGUGCGCGGGCGGGGGAGCAAGUCAGCGGUAAAAUGUCGGGGCUCAACCCCGGCCGGCCGUUGAAACUGGUUUUCUAGAGUUGGAGAGAGGUAUGCGGAAUUCGUGGUGUAGCGGUGAAAUGCAUAGAUAUCACGAAGAACUCCGGUUGCGAAGGCAGCAUACCGGCUCCAUACUGACGCUGAGGCACGAAAGCGUGGGGAGCGAACAGGAUUAGAUACCCCAGUAGUC
rnacentral:rRNA from 1 species